GAUGAACGCUAGCGGCAGGCUUAACACAUGCAAGUCGAGGGGUAACAUUGUAGCUUGCUACAGAUGACGACCGGCGCACGGGUGCGUAACGCGUAUAGAACCUACCUUUUACUGAGGAAUAGCCUUUAGAAAUGAAGAUUAAUGCCUCAUAGUAUUGAGAUUCGGCAUCGAGUUUUAAUUAAAGAUUUAUUGGUAAAAGAUGGCUAUGCGUCCUAUUAGUUAGUUGGUAAGGUAACGGCCUACCAAGCCUACGAUCUAUAGCUGGUUUGAGAGGAUGAUCAGCCACACUGGGACUGAGACACGGCCCAG
rnacentral:rRNA from 1 species